rnacentral:tmRNA from 1 species
GGGGGCGCACUGGUUUCGACGGAGAUCGUGAGGCCGCAGUUGCAGGUCGGGGAUGGCAGUUGGCCCCGUUAUCAAUUUCUGCCAGGCAUACAAUUGCCAACGAUGAUUACGCAUACGCCAUGGCCGCCUAAUUUAGGCACUGUGGUCCUGGAGCAUGACUCCAGCGGCACCUUGGGAGUUACGCCCGAUAAACCCAUCGAUCGCUGACGACCCCCCUCGGGAUAGGACCUCCAUUUCACCUUUGGGCGGAGGUCCGAAACUCAACAAAGGUUGGCUCUCUGGCCGUCUGGGCCGGGUCAAUCCAGAGAGCGAGACACUAAUCCGGUCCUAAACCUGUAGACGCUUCGAGCCAAUCAUUUUCGGACGGGGGUUCGAUUCCCCCCGCCUCCACCA